rnacentral:tRNA from 1 species
CCUUAAUUAGCUUACUUAAAGCUUUAAACUCUUAAUUUAAAAGAAAAUAGUUAAACCCUAUUAUUAAGGA